AGCAGCCGCGGUAAUUCCAGCUCUAAUAGCGUAUAUUAAAGUUGUUGCAGUUAAAAAGCUCGUAGUUGAAUUUCGGGGUCAGUAGGCUGGUCGUGCCACGGGUACGUACUGGUCUUACUGAUUCCUCCUUCCUGAAGAACCGUAAUGCCAUUAAUUUGGUGUUGCGGGGAAACAGGACUGUUACUUUGAAAAAAUUAGAGUGUUUAAAGCAGGCUAACGCUUGAAUACAUUAGCAUGGAAUAAUGAAAUAGGACGAUCGAUCCUAUUUUGUUGGUUUCUAGGAUUGACGUAAUGAUUAAUAGGGAUAGUUGGGGGCAUUAGUAUUCAAUUGUCAGAGGUGAAAUUCUUGGAUUUAUUGAAGACUAACUACUGCGAAAGCAUUUGCCAAGGAUGUUUUCAUUAAUCAAGAACGAAAGUUAGGGGAUCGAAGACGAUCAGAUACCGUCGUAGUCUUAACCAUAAACUAUGCCGACUAGGGAUCGGAUGAUGUUAAUUUUAUAAUGACUCAUUCGGCGCCUUA
rnacentral:rRNA from 1 species